AACCGGCACUUAUCUCCUUUUCUUAAAUACCCUCACUCUCUCUCUCCCUUAUCCCUUCACUCUCUCACCGUCCUCACCCUCCUCACCCUUGGCGGCAGUGGCUUGUGUAGCCAUCAUUGGAUCCUCCUCGUAAUCAACAUCGACGACAGUUCGAUUUGCAUAUAUGAUAGCCUGAGGAGAGGGAUAGACAAGUACCAAACUAUUUUAAGUGCACUAAAUAGGGCAUAUAAGAAGUACCGUAGGUCCGGAAGAUCGUAUGGGAGAUACAAGAUUGAAGCAACUGAAUUUCGGAUCUUCGAACAUAAAUAUAUCCUUCGCCAACCAGAGGCCACCAACCUCUGUGGAUUCUACGUCAUGCGGUACAUGCUAUAUUUUGUAGAGGAUGGAUACCAUCACCGCAAUGCUGAGAAAUUGGGUAUCGAUACAAGUGAAAUUCUACCACACGUCUUUAAAGCUCUCAUUGAUGAGUUUUGCGGGUUCAUCCGUCAUCAUGUCGUAGACCCAACUGGCGAAUACAACAUCAACAAGGCCCCACAACGAGUGCAAUCUUCUGCCCCUCCCCCUCGGGACCAAGCCGCGAAGAAAUUAGCUCCUAGGAAAAGAAAAACCAACUAGCUAGAUUUAUGUGAAAAAAAAUGUAUUUAAUUAGUGUUUAUGCAUGAACUAUGGAAGUGUACUUUAUGUGUAAUGCAUUUGAAUAUUUGCUAUUAUUAUGGAUUCUAUUCU
rnacentral:lncRNA from 1 species